rnacentral:rRNA from 1 species
GACGGGGGGGGCAAGUGUUCUUCGGAAUGACUGGGCGUAAAGGGCGCGUAGGCGGCGCAGUUAGUCAGGCGUGAAAUUCCUGGGCUCAACCUGGGGACUGCGCUUGAUACGGCUGUGCUUGAGGAUGGAAGAGGCUCGCGGAAUUCCCAGUGUAGAGGUGAAAUUCGUAGAUAUUGGGAAGAACACCGGGUGGCGAAGGCGGCGAGCUGGUCCAUUACUGACGCUGAGGCGCGACAGCGUGGGGAGCAAACAGG